rnacentral:rRNA from 1 species
AGUGAACGCUGGCGGUAGGCCUAACACAUGCAAGUCGAACGGCAGCACAGUAAGAGCUUGCUCUUACGGGUGGCGAGUGGCGGACGGGUGAGGAAUACAUCGGAAUCUACUUUUUCGUGGGUGAUAACGUAGGGACACUUACGCUACUACCGCAUACGACCUACGGGUGAAAGCAGGAGAGCUUCGGACCUUGCGCGAUUGAAUGAGCCGAUGUCGGAUUAGCUAGUUGGCGUGGUAAAGGCCCACCAAGGCGACGAUCCGUAGCAGGUCUGAGAGGAUGAUCAGCCACACUGGAACUGAGACACGGUCCAGACUCCUACGGGAGGCAGCAGUGGGGAAUAUUGGACAAUGGGCGCAAGCCUGAUCCAGCAAUACCGCGUGGGUGAAGAAGGCCUUCGGGUUGUAAAGCCCUUUUGUUGGGAAAGAAAAGCAGCAGGUUAAUACCCCGCUGUUCUGACGGUACCCAAAGAAUAAGCACCGGCUAACUUCGUG